rnacentral:rRNA from 1 species
AGGGCAAGUCUGGUGCCAGCAGCCGCGGUAAUUCCAGCUCCAAUAGCGUAUAUUAAAGUUGUUGCAGUUUAAAAGCUCGUAGUUGAAUUUCGGGGUUCUACCGUUGGUCGGGCUUUGUCUGUACUGGCGUGUAGAAUUUCUACCUUCUGGGGAACCAUUAUGUUAUUAAUUUAGCGUAGUGGGAAACCAGGACCUUUACCUUGAAAAAAUUAGAGUGUUCAAAGCAGGCUUAUGUCUGAAUACAUUAGCAUGGAAUAAUAGAAUAGGACGAUGGUCCUGUUUUGUUGGUUUCUGAAUCACCGUAAUGAUUAAUAGGGAUAGUUGGGGGCAUUAGUAUUCAAUUGUCAGAGGUGAAAUUCUUGGAUUUAUUGAAGACUAACUUCUGCGAAAGCAUUUGCCAAGGAUGUUUUCAUUAAUCAAGAACGAAAGUUAGGGGAUCGAAGACGAUCAGAUACCGUCGUAGUCUUAACCAUAAACUACGCCGACUAGGGAUCGGACGAUGUUAAUUUUUCUUGACUCGUUCGGCGCCUUACGGGAA